CUACGUAGGGGGCGAGCGUUGUCCGGAAUGAUUGGGCGUAAAGGGCGCGUAGGCGGCCCGGUAAGUCUGGAGUGAAAGUCCUGUUUUUAAGAUGGGAAUUGCUUUGGAUACUGUCGGGCUUGAGUGCAGGAGAGGUAAGUGGAAUUCCCAGUGUAGCGGUGAAAUGCGUAGAGAUUGGGAGGAACACCAGUGGCGAAGGCGACUUACUGGGCCGUAACUGACGCUGAGGCGCGAAAGCGUGGGGAGCGAACAGGAUUAGAUACCCUGGUAGUCCACGCGGUAAACGAUGAAUGCUAGGUGUAGGGGGUAUCGACCCCUUCUGUGCCGCAGUCAACACAAUAAGCAUUCCGCCUGGGGAGUACGGCCGCAAGGUUGAAACUCAAAUGAAUUGACGGGG
rnacentral:rRNA from 1 species